GACGAACGCUGGCGGCGUGCUUAACACAUGCAAGUCGAACGGAAAGGCCCUGCUUUUGUGGGGUGCUCGAGUGGCGAACGGGUGAGUAACACGUGAGUAACCUGCCCUUGACUUUGGGAUAACUUCAGGAAACUGGGGCUAAUACCGGAUAGGAGCUCCUGCUGCAUGGUGGGGGUUGGAAAGUUUCGGCGGUUGGGGAUGGACUCGCGGCUUAUCAGCUUGUUGGUGGGGUAGUGGCUUACCAAGGCUUUGACGGGUAGCCGGCCUGGGAGGGUGACCGGCCACAUUGGGAAUGAGAUACGGCCCAGACGCCUACGGGAGGCAGCAGUGGGGAAUAUUGCACAAUGGGCGGAAGCCUGAUGCAGCAACGCCGCGUGCGGGAUGACGGCCUUCGGGUUGUAACCGCUUUCGCCUGUGACGAAGCGUGAGUGACGGUAAUGGGUAAAGAAGCACCGGCUAACUACGUG
rnacentral:rRNA from 1 species